AACUUUACAUGACAAUCAUAUAUCUUGAUUAUGAUACUUGUCUUGUUUGCUUAGUGUGGUUUGAUACCCUUGAUAAAUGAUACUUGUCUUGAGACACUCCCCUUGUAUUUAACUUAAAUUUGUGAUGUUAUAUCCAUGUUUUGUAAUUGUUUAUCAUUUCAUUCAAGUAUUUCCUUCAUAAACUUCCAUAAUGUUGAACAUGUAUCUCAUACCUUUUCAUGUGCUAUCUCUUGUGAUGGUACGAAAA
rnacentral:lncRNA from 1 species